rnacentral:rRNA from 1 species
CAGUAGCCGCGGGAAUACGUAGGUGGCAAGCGUUGUCCGGAAUUACUGGGCGUAAAGCGUGCGCAGGCGGUUCGUUAAGACAGAUGUGAAAUCCCCGGGCUUAACCUGGGAACUGCAUUUGUGACUGGCGAGCUAGAGUAUGGCAGAGGGGGGUAGAAUUCCGCGUGUAGCAGUGAAAUGCGUAGAUAUGCGGAGGAGCACCGAUGGCGAAGGCAGCCCCCUGGGCCAAUACUGACGCUCAUGCACGAAAGCGUGGGGAGCAAACAGGAUUAGAUACCCCGGUAGUCCCUGUCUCUUAUAA